UCAGGAAGUGCUGGAUGUCGCCGACCGUCAGAAUAAUGACACGCGUCGUUCCGCCAACGGCCGCCAGGAAGAGACGAUCAUCAACGUUAAUCUGCGCGCAUAAGCAGCUGACGAAUACUUGAGCAUUUUGUUUUUGGAAGUGAUGUACGGAGCACAAGAGCAAUGAAAUUACCGAUUUAUCUGGAUUAUUC
rnacentral:sRNA from 1 species